GCCAGCGUGGCCUCGUGCUUGGAGCGACGGACCUCGACUCUGGAGGUCCGGGUUCGAAUCCUGGCUCAGCCA